ACAUCGCCUCUUGCCUAAUACUAUAAGAGGUCUUGCCUGCCCAGUGACGCAAGUUAAAUGGCCGCGGUACUCUAACCGUGCGAAGGUAGCACAAUCACUUGUCUUUUAAAUGAAGUCUUGUACAAAUGGUAAAACGAAAACUCAACUGUCUCAUUCUUUCAACCAAUGAAAUUGAUUUCUCCGUGCAGAAGCGGAGAUAGACACAUAAGACAAAAAGACCCUGUGGAGCUUCAGACAAAUCAGCUUAAAAUUAUUUACAAUGAUAUUGUAAAUAAAUCCUGCCUACGUCUUAGGUUGGGGAGAUCACGGAGAAAAAAAAAGCUUCCAUGGAAAACAUAUGUUUUUAUAAUCUAGAGUGACAACUCUAAAUACUAAAAUAUUUAACUUAAUGAACCGGCUUGCCGAUUAACGAACCAAGUUACCCCAGGGAUAACAGCGCAAUUCCUUUAAGGAGUACCUAUCACUAAG
rnacentral:rRNA from 1 species